GCCUCCAUAGCUUAGUCGGUAGGGCAUGAGACUCUUAAUCUCAAGGUUGCGGGUUUGAGUGGGGCAAAAGAUUCCUGGAUUGCAGGUG